AAAUAUUUUUUUCCAAUAUAUGUUUCAUAACAUGAAUAUUCAGUUUACUCAAUUAAUCAACAUGGCUUAUAUAUCUCACAAAAAUUUGGCUCUUGCCAAAAUCAUUCCUGAGGAUGCCUUGGCCUAGGCAUCUGAUUGAGACCACCAAGGCUGUUAAAUGUCUUUACAUCCGAAAUUCUAGCCAUGCCUUGGCGUUGGCUGAGUCUCACUCUCACGUGGUGGUCCACGUGAAGUGCACUCAAAUCUUACCUCUAGAGAAACCCUCCACACGGCUCUCCGAUAGAGGUAAGGUAUAUCUGAUUCUGUGCCCUCUUUCUUAGGUUGGUCCACAGAACCUCCACUGCAAGGAUUAUGGAUUAUUUUAUCUACCACCUGAUUUAUAAAAUCUUUAUCUGCAUGAAAUGGCAAUUUAUCGCAAUCUAACCUCUCAAGGCUGAAUACGUAGUAUAUAUAAUUUUGAUACAAAUACCGACUUUGCCAUUCAUGCUCACAUAUUGCUAUAAGCCAUAUAAUUUAAAACACAAUUUAUAACACAAGCAGGCAAUCUCCAAUUACUCUAUUUUCAAAACCAGUAUUCAAUUUUCUAGAAAAUUUAUAAAAUCAUAAUUUCUCCUAAAACAUAGCAAUUUACCAUUUAAACCCAUUUUUUAUAAAAUCACACAAUUGUAUAAAACUACGCUAGAUAAUUAAGACGAUAAUAAGUUUACUCAUAGUAUUAGGAGUAGAAAUACUCCUAUUUUUAGUCCGCGAGUACAGUCCUUUACCUAUAUCCAAUGGCUCACCACCUAGCCAUAAUCCAUGUCACAUAUUCCAAUUAAAUUGUGUCUAAUAGUCAUAAGCUAUUUCAGGCUCGAUAUAUAUGCAUGAUAUGAAAUGAAAAAUGCACGGGUAGCCAUCUAGACUCGGUAUUGGCCUAAGUCUAUUUUUCAUCAGAUAAAUUGGCCAAUGCGUUCAAUUUCACUCCAACUUGCUCCAUUUCUUUUCCAAUCCCUCAAUUCACCAAAGACUAUUAUUUCUUAAUCAAAUCACCUAGAAUAACAUCUCAUUCUUCCUCAUUAUUCACUUAGAGAAUUCGACUAUUGAUGGGCACCAAACCUUUGGUGGUUUUCUUCACUUGUUUUCAUGCUACACAUCAUUAAUCACCUAAAAACACUAACAUACCUAAAAAUCAAACCAAUCCAAGAUCAUUUUCUCUCCAUACCCAUUUUGACCAGCCAUGAAUUCACCAUGAAAGCAUGCUUUUCAACCAUGGAAAUUAAGGAGAGAUGCAUGGGUAAGGUAAAUCACUAGCAAAAUCAAAGAAAUUUUACCUUUGCUUGAUCAAAUCCUUGAAUUCUAACACUUUCUCUUUGAUUUUUCCCACCUAGGGUUUCUUCUUUCUUGGUUUCUCUUCUCUUCUGGUUUGG
rnacentral:lncRNA from 1 species